rnacentral:misc_RNA from 1 species
AAACAAAAAAAGAAAAGCAACAAUGUAGUGAGUUGGGACGUUUUCUUAUCCGACUGUUGAAUGCUAAUACUGUGGGAAAUAGAAUCACAGAUUAACCUUGAAGGGCACCAGUUUUAUACGAAGACACGACGAAACAGUCAAACUUGUAACAGAACAUAUCAGUGUAACAGGAUAUCAACAAAAAUAUCAGAAAGUUAAAUUACAUUUAAAAGCCACACGCUCCACUUCCCCCGACAAAAUGUUUUGGAUUUUACGACGCACCGGUGCAGCGAAUUUCUUCAAUUCGCUAAACAACAAUUGCAGCUCAUCGAAGGGCGGAAGUAGUUCGGGCACACAAGAUAAAUAUGUGAAGCGACCGCCACGUAAAGCUUACGGGCGACUUAGUGCCGAUUCGGACGAUGCCAGUUCACAGCAAAAGCACAAAAUCGAUGAUCCCUUUGACGAAUUUGAUAAUUUCAAAAUAAUAACUUCGGGCAGUGGAUGUAAUGAUGGCAAUGGCAACGCCAACGUCAACGGCAAUGGCAGCGCCACAUGCCAACAUGUGCACUCAGGGCUGAUCGAUGGCGGGUGUGGAGGAGGUGGUCGCGCUGGCGCAGCUGCUAUUAAUGGAUCCACGACUCCUUGUACACUGCCCGAUUGCCAGGGAAAUUUCGUUAACGAAGGCAUGUGCCACCUAAAUGAUGCGACGGGCUGCGCGGGAGUCGCUGGCGCAUCGCAAUUGAACUCAUCCGCAAUUCAGAGGCACAAGGAAGUCAAUGAGAACACCAUUAACCGACUGCAAGCGAUGGCGAUAUCAGAUGAUGAUGAUUACGAUGAAUCUCUGACAUGCAAUGUUUGUGAUAGAGCUUUCCAUUGUCAUAGGCAAUUGGCUUCGCAUCAGCAGAAGAAACGUCAUUUCGGUUGCAACGCAUGCGAUAGUCUCUUUCCAUCACUAAUGAUACUGGAACAUCACAAAGAGGAGUUUGAACACUGGAGCGACGACGAGAUUAGUCGGCAGGUUUGCUGUCGACGAAAUCGAGGUGACGAUUACUUUACUGAUACCGACUCCUUCACCAGUGAGGCGGAGAGCGAGGAUAUGGAGAGGUUAUUGUAAGUCGCCUCCAGGAAUUAAGUUGAGAGAACUAUUACGUAUAUAUAGGGACGAAUGACAGACAUUUUACAAAAAAAUUGAACCAAGGAACAUACACGGCGUAUAUAAGUCCAAUUACAAGAAAAUCGAAAUACGAGAUGGCAUUCAAUGCUGUCAAAGCAAUACAAGUACAAGGUACAAGUCGUUCAAAAAAUUCUUUGUGUGAAACCAUUCGUGCGUGCCGGAGUUAACAAGUUGAUUAAACUAACAUAUGCUAUGUGUUUUUAUAUCACAAAAGUCCUCAACCUUGACCGCAAGCGCUAUUUUCAAGUGUGUACGACAUCAAAAGCUAAUAUCUAAGCAAAUUAUAGCCACUGGAAAUAAAUAAGUGAACAUAACGGUACAAUAAUUGAGCACGCAAUUGUGUGUGAACAAGGGUGGUAGCAUAGCGCUACUUCACUGGAGCAAAUGUAUAAUAUAAGUUAAGUUUAAAGUUAAGAGAUCAUCGUCCCCAUUAAAAAUGCGAUUAGUUGAAUAUAUUGUAAAUAAGACGACUCUAGGUGGGAGAAAUUCUCAUGCAAGAACACGUUUACAAAUGUACUUAUUAUACCUGUAAAACCAGUGUGAAAACUCAUAUCGGCUUGUAUGACUUUUUAUUUCUAAUUUGAAUAUUCGAAGGUAUUGGUCCUAACACAUCUGUAUAUAUAAGGAAACUCAAACAGAGGAAAAAAUAGAAUUUCAAUGAUAUAUUGUUAUACGUAGUUACCAAGAUCUAAGGUGUUGGAUUUCGCGGCACUAAAGAUACAUAACCUCUACCUUGAGUAUCUUACGACAUACUAAGGGAAACUUGAUAUUCCUAAACCUGGAUAAAUGAUGGUUGCUACAAAUAUGAAUACUACUACACUUUUACCUCACAGUCACUUUUGGAUUCAUUGUCCAACCCAAAUCAACUCAAAAACGUUAGCGCGGUCACAUGAUAUUUUCGAAAUGCGAACAUCGGAGCCGAUUACUACCCGACAUCAUGCGAAGGAAGUGUUCUUAAGCCUACACUGAGUCGAAGAGCAGCGGCCAUGCAGAACAGUUUUGACUGAGUUGUUAUAUGUUAUAUUUGUAAAUAUGUACAUAUUAAACAUUUGUGAGCCACACUACAUGAAUUGCACACGGCUCUUUGUGAGCGUGUUUGUAUUGAAGUUGAUAUGAACUUUUGUAAUAGAUAUUGCAAAUAAUACUCGUAUAAAUGCAUCAGCUUUAAUUGCAACUGUUUUGCUUUGAUUUUAUAUAUAUCUGU